rnacentral:rRNA from 1 species
UACGUAGGAUGCAAGCGUUGUCCGGAAUUAUUGGGCGUAAAGAGCGAGCAGGCGGUUCGACAAGUCAGAUGUAAAAUAUCCCGGCUUAACCGGGAGGGGCCAUUUGAAACUGUCGGACUAGAGUGGAGCAGAGGAUAGUGGAAUUCCCGGUGUAGUGGUGAAAUGCGCAGAUAUCAGGAGGAACACCGGUGGCGAAGGCGGGACUCUGGGCCGAUACUGACGCUGAGGAGCGAAAGCGUGGGGAGCAAACAGG